GAAUCCCGUAUAUGGCACGGACUCCCGUUGCUCUGUGAUACACUCUCGACGAGUCGAGUUGUUUGGGAAUGCAGCUCUAAAUGGGUGGUAAAUGCCAUCUAAAGCUAAAUAUUGGCGAGAGACCGAUAGCGAACAAGUACCGUGAGGGAAAGAUGAAAAGCACUUUGGAAAGAGAGUGAAACAGUACGUGAAAUUGUUGAAAGGGAAACGCUUGAAGUCAGUCGCGCCGUUCGGGAUUCAGCCUUGCUUCUGCUCGGUUUACUUCCCGUUGGGUGGGUCAACAUCAGUUUCGGUCGGAGGAGAAAGACUUGGGGAAGGUGGCAGCAUUCGUGCUGUGUUAUAGCCCCGUGUUGUAUACUUCGACUGGGACUGAGGACCGCAGCACGCCUCUGGCCGGGGUUCGCCCACGUACGUGCUUAGGAUGUUGGCAUAAUGGCUUUAAGCGACCCGUCUUGAAACACGGACCAAGGAGUCUAACAUGUGCGCGAGUGUUUGGGUGUUAAACUCGGACGCGAAAUGAAAGUGAAAAGUUGGGAACACGUCUGUGUGCACCGACGCCCGGAGCUGACCUUCUGUGACGCAUCUGCGGUAGAGCGUAUAUGUUGGGACCCGAAAGAUGGUGAACUAUGCCUGAAUAGGGUGAAGCCAGAGGAAACUCUGGUGGAGGCUCGUAGCGAUUCUGACGUGCAAAUCGAUCGUCAAAUUUGGGUAUAGGGGCGAAAGACUAAUCGAACCAUCUAGUAGCUGGUUCCUGCC
rnacentral:rRNA from 1 species